UUUCUUUUGUGGUUCAUAAGUGUGAUGAUUGGGUUUUUUGCUCAUGUGUGAGAUGUGCCUCCUCAAACCUCGUUAUGAUGUCGGCACAUCACCCAUCUGACU
rfam:Pan troglodytes isolate Yerkes chimp pedigree #C0471 (Clint) chromosome 6, whole genome shotgun sequence.